UUAUCACACGUCGUCCCAGUUGAUGGACAAGUCUUGGGAAGCCGUAUUAUAAUAUGCUCAUUUCCAUAAUAUCGAAUUGUGUUCAUCCAUCUUAAAGGAUAAUAAAAACUUCUACGCUGUCAUGCUAUGCCUCAGUUUGGCAAAAUGUAAAAGCCCCGAAAAACCCGCCCACACACACACACAAACACACAAUAAGCGAUGGGGAAGCAACCUUCAAUCAAUCUUAGCCAUCAAUUUAUCAAACAGAACAGUAGAAGAAGAAAUAAAGGAAGCAAGAAGAAGACAUUGAAGCAAAACCACAUUGCAUAUCUGUGGGCUUAAUAAAGAUUCUAUUUUAGUGCUUAAAAUUUGUAUAGGACAACGAAAAAGUUAAAUACACGCAUAUUGAAAAA